rnacentral:lncRNA from 1 species
GGCUACACAAGAGCGUCGGUCUUUGCCCAGCACGAAGCCCGCCGCGCACUCGCAGGCAAAGCCUCCAGAGUCGUCUAGGCAGUCAGGGAGCUCCGCGCACUUGCCAGCACGGAGGUACCUCCCGGGGCAGGGACAGAGCACAGCCCCGGAGGGUAUCCCGUCCCAGCGCGCGCCGACCUCGUCGGCGAGGCAGGUGGCUCUGACGGAGAGCUGCCCGGGGCAGAGCGCACUCACCUGCGUCCCUGGGGGACUGAAGUCCAGCGCCGCGCUGUGCAGCUGGAAGGGCGCGCGGUAGCUCAAGUUAGAGGCGGCCCCGGGGCGCGGCGCCGGGCACAAGCCCUCAAACUGGUAUUUGCACAGGUAGCCGUUGGCGCGCGAGUGGCAGCGCAUCUCCUUCCAGCCUGCGGGCUCGACCCCCCGGGUGGCCUGGAGUCCCGCGCAACUCCGAGAGGUGCAGGAGCGCUGGGGCUCCUCCACCCACUGCAGCGUGUCGCUUUCGGACCCGCUGACGUCGGGGGACAGCCAGGAGAAGCCCCGCAACGGCUCGUCCUCCAGGGUGCAGUGGGAUCGCCCGCGUUCCAGCGCCACCCAGAACAGAAGGUCUUUGGAGCCCCCUCCGGGCCCCGGGCCUGCCCGCAGGAGCGCGAGCACCGCCUGGAGCUCGGCGCCCCCGCGCACGGUGCUGAGCGCCCCGCCGCGCAGACUGCAGGCCUCCUCGGCCGCCAGCCUCUUGAUGGUAGCGUGGUGCAGGCUGUAGCAGGCCCCCGAGGCCGAGCAGCCCGCGCGGUCGGCCGUGGGGUGCUCGCCCCCGCCGGGCCGAGGCCAGAGCGCCUGCCAGAGGAGACACAGGGCGAGCGCCGGCCUCAUCUUGGAGGCCCCGCUCCCACAGUGUUCCCGACUAGGCUUGGCUCUGUCCCGCCCGAGGGCGCGGAGCUGUCCCGAGAGCGCGGUCACCGCCCCCUCCAGCCGGCCUCCCCCGCCUCCCCGCCCCACUCCCGCCGGGGCCCUCAACUGCCAAGAUUCCCCAGCACGGUCCUGGCGGCAAGCAGCUUCCCCUAGGCCGCGACAGGAAAUGGGUUCGGAGCUGUGCCAGGCCCCGUGCAGCCCUGAUUCCUUCUGGGGUCACGCACACAGCUGGCGCCGGGGUGCGGGGUACACAGUCGACCAGGUCAGACACCCUGCUUAGAGCAGGAGAAAAAGAGAGAAAGUCGCGACUGGGAAGAAACGUAUCCUGUCCCCCCCCACCCCCAUUAGAAAGUUUCAGGGGCUCAGAUCCCAAAACACUUCGGUGAACGUUGACAGGAAGGACUGGAAACGAGGAACUCGCUGACAGCCCACACCCGCCCAUUGUGUUUCGUCCGGGCCAGCCGCCUUGGCUUCACAGCAACGUGUAGACGGCUCCAGGCGUCAUCGGGCGGGAGGCUGGGGCGACGCGGAGGGCAUCUAUCUGGUGGGAAAUCUGGGGCUCUCCCUCCACCGCCAGAGGCAGCACCGCUUGGGCGCCAGCCUCCUGCUCUCUGCUUCUCUGUUCUGUCAAAGGAGAUUCCUGGGGGCUAAUUGCCAGUCUAAGAAUUUAGAGCUCCCUUUGCGUAUCCUAAAUGGGUAAAUCCUGCGUCUUCAGUCAGAGCUCGCUUUAAAGUUUCUUUUUUGCUUCCAUUUGUUUCUCCUUGAAACGGCCAUAUGGGUUCACUCAGGAAAGGAAAUGUACUUCUAGGCCCAAAUGAAAAAUAAUGGGCAUCGAUCUCAACUGUUGUAUAGUUAGGUUUCCUUACCACUGUAUUGCUUCAUAACUAAUUCAAGCUUGUAUGUUAUAGAAAAAUGAGAUCGUGGCCUGAUUAAUGUUUGAGAACAACUACCCCAUGUGUAACUUUAUCCUUGAACUAUUUUAAUAUCAUUUUCUCCUGUGAUUGGGUGCCAAUAUUUGUAUCGGUAAAUUGUAAAAGUCCCCUUGAAGGGACACUAGAGUUCAAUAUUCUUAAGAAAUUAAAUUAUUUAUUCCAUUAUAAUGCAUAUUAUAUACCGUAAACAAAAAAUACCCCCUCAUCUAAGAGACGGGUGAGUCCAUUUCUCCAGCAUUCCAAUUUUUUUUUUUUUUUUAGAUUUUAUUUAUUAUCUGUUUGAGACAUAGAGAGAGGGAGAGAGGGAGAGAGGCAGAGACACAGGCAGAGGGAGAAGCAGGCUCCAUGCAGGGAGCCGGAUGUGGGACUCGAUCCCCGGUCUCCAGGAUCAGGCCCUGGGCUGAAGGCAGCGCUAAGCCGCUGAGUCACCCGGGCUGCCCACAGCGUUCCAAUUUUUAAAAAAUAUACACAGCUCAAUUGGAAGUGGGGAAGAAUUAAAGAUGAGUAAAUGAAGACAAGCUUAAACACUGCACUGUCUAUGGAAAGAUUUUCUUGUUAGCAAUUUAGGCAAUUCUGUAUCAUUUUAGGAAAUGCAUUAUCUACCUUGGUUCACAGUAACCAAAUAUAUUGCAAUAAAAGCACAGAGUUUCAACUAAGCUCACUUAACAUGCACCAUGCUUUUAAAUACCUACAAUCAGAAUGAAAGUUGCCAUUCCAUGAAUAAUGCAUACCACACUUUUAAACUCACUUUCUUAUGCUGGAUUAGACGGUUCAGAUUAGUGAGAAAGGGUAGGAAGGAAGGUCUCAGGAUCACUUCUGUAUGUCCCCACCUCCUUUUUACCACUGCUCUCACUCUUCUUUUCCUCUUGGAAAUUCUAUGUAUGUUAGGAAAUGAUAGUAAAUACAUGAAUCAUUAUCACACUUACCUUGCUUUUGCUGAUGUGUUUCGCCGCAGGAUUUCUCUACUAUCCGUGCUGAUUUCCAAUUUAAAGGACAUUCAUUAGUCCUUCAUUUCAGAUGGCCAUGUCACCUUAAACAUGACUUUGCAUUUAAAUUAAGUAACAAAUGUCUUAUGAGGGAGGAACAUGAACAUCUAGAAAUCUAAUUGAACGGAUUUUAAAAAUACUUCAUCAUGUGGGCAACUCUAUAGACUUUGCAAUCAAAUGAUUCUGUGUUCAUAAAUGUGUCCAUGUAGCACUAUGUAUUUUAAUAAAAUAAAACCUUUUAUAAACCUAAGUAGACAAUGGAAAUCUCUCAGAUAUUUUUUUUUUAAAUCACUUGGGAUGAGGUGAAGCUUCUAGAAUCAGAAAGAAUGAAUGACUGGAGAGCUUAUAGCAAAUACAUGAUCUCACACCCUGGCAUUUUGCCAUUCAAGAGGUGGGAUAUCAGAAGAGAACAUUGUGGCCAAAAUAACUGCAUGUCCCAGCCCUGGCCAUGCCUGCAGUAACUUGAGAGGAGAGUUACAAAAAAUAAAUAAAUAACUCAAAGUAAGACAUAGGUAAGUUUGUAAUUCAUUACUUUGUAUCAGUCUAUAUGCCAAUAUCAUAUUUUGAAAUGUAUAGUAUUCCUGAAAAAAAAAAAAAA